rnacentral:rRNA from 1 species
UACGUAGGGUGCAAGCGUUAAUCGGAAUUACUGGGCGUAAAGCGUGCGCAGGCGGCUGUGCAAGACCGAUGUGAAAUCCCCGGGCUUAACCUGGGAAUGGCAUUGGUGACUGCACGGCUAGAGUGUGUCAGAGGGGGGUAGAAUUCCACGUGUAGCAGUGAAAUGCGUAGAGAUGUGGAGGAAUACCGAUGGCGAAGGCAGCCCCCCGGGAUAACACUGACGCUCAUGCACGAAAGCGUGGGGAGCAAACAGG